rnacentral:rRNA from 1 species
AUUGAACGCUGGCGGCAGGCUUAACACAUGCAAGUCGAACGAGUGGCGGACGGGUGAGUAAUGCUUGGGAAUCUCGCUUAUGGAGGGGGAUAACUACGGGAAACUGUAGCUAAUACCGCUUACCAUAGGAUGAGCCCAAGUGGGAUUAGGUAGUUGGUGAGGUAAAGGCUCACCAAGCCGACGAUGUCUAGCUGGUCUGAGAGGCUGACCAGCCACACUGGGACUGAGACACGGCCCAGACUCCUACGGGAGGCAGCAGUGGGGAAUAUUGCGCAAUGGGCGCAACCUGACGCAGCAAUGCCGCGUGAAUGAAGAAGGCCUUCGGGUUGUAAAGUUCUUUCGGUAGAGAGGCGUUAUCUACAGAAGAAGCACCGGCUAACUCCGUGCCAGCCGCCGCGGUAAUAC